CCCCGCCCCGCCCCGGCCCGGCCCUGCCUCAGUUUCCCCCGCCAGCCUCCAGCCCGGCCGCAGUUUCCCUUGUGCCUGGAGACGCCCCGGGCGCCUGCCCGCGCCCCGGUGCGGAGGGCCGUGCCGCCCGGGGCUGGGGGACGCGCCGGGGUCGGGGCGAGGGGGCCCCGGUGCUGCCGGCUCUCGGGGGCUCAGUGUCCCGCAGCGCCGGGCUCCGGGGAGGGUUUCGGGGUCCCCCCACCCCAGCUCUGGCGGUGUACUGGGGUCCCCGGUGCUGCCAGCUCUGGGCGGUAUCGGCCCCCCCGCACACGGCACCGUGGGGGUCUCGGGGUCCCUAAUACUGCCAGUCCUGGGGGGUCUCGGGGUCCCCAGCACGCAGCUCGGGGGGCUCGGUGCUGCCAGCUGGGGGGGGGUCUUGGGGUCCCCCUGGGACUGGGGAGGUGUCAGGGUCCCCAAUGCUGGCAGAUGUGGGCAGCUUUGGGGGGCCCCAGGCAUCCCUGAUGGCACCAGGCGUGGAGGGAUUUUGGGGUCCCCCUGCACCUGGGUCUUGGGGCGUGGUCUCACUGGGAAACGUGCCCUUCCCACAGCCAGGACCGGCCCCCAGGGGCCCUGCAGCGACUGUGGGCGCUUUGCAGAGGCCAAGGGGAGGGGUGCCGGGGAAAAGGGUGCUCAGGCUUAAAGCACCGGUGCGUGGUCAGGAAGGACGCACAGAUGAGAUUCUCUGAGAGCUAUUCCCUAGCGAUUUGGAGGCGCACACCCAGAAGCGGGCGAGAAGACACUUACCACAGAGCUACGAAGAAGCUCGAAACGGGCUGAAGUCAUUGUCCCAGAGAGCCGCUCGCUGGGACCACCUGGGCCCCAAAACGAAGGCGGGGAGAGAAGAUGAGACCCCGUUAGGUGGCGCCCUAAAGAAAUUACCUGUUACAGAUGUGAGCGAGGGGGACGUGGUGCCCGAGACUGCGGGCUUACUCGUAAUGAAGGUGGAAAGAGAAUAGCUCCCCCCAAGCCCCCAGGGAAAGGCCCAAGGAACCUGAAGCGGUGGAGGCCAUGGACAAUAGUUAUGGGGGAAGUGAAAAGCCUGUGGCUUGGGCGCGACCCAUAAUGGCUGCAAGCCUGUGUGUGUGCGUGCAUGCAUCUGUGUUCAUGGCAUGAACGACUCGUGCCAUGGCUGGGGGCCACAGCAGUAGCAGGAGAGGCAGGAGUGCAGUGGCUGUCAGUGGUGGGAGGGGGUGGAGUGGUGGCAAGCGCCAACCAAGCAUCGGCAACCAAGCACAGCUGCUGCUGGCAGUGUCGGCAGUGCCUUUUUGUAGGGGGUGCACCACCACACUUAGGGGGUGCACAUGCACCCGUGUGAACCCCCUACACGUUGACCCUGGUUCGUGGCAGGGAAAGUGUGUUUGUGUGUCCAUGUGCAGAGCAUGGACGCAGGCGCAGGGGGCUAUUAGCAGUUCUUAAGGAACCCACAUUGAGCCCAACAGGAGCUGAGGCUCAUUGUGAAGCUCUGAGGGCCUGUUUGCUGCCCACGAGGCAGGUGGCCCUGGAAAAUUUGAGGGAGAUCCAACAGAAACCAAAGAGGCAUCAUGACAGAGCGGCUGAGGAGAGAGCUGCCAGUCAACAACAGGGUGUCAGUCCUAUUACCCACCAUGGCCGGUAACCUGCUGACAAAGUGGCAAGGCCCUUGGAAAUAAGAAGGCACGCCGGGCUGGUGGAUGACGAGCUAUUCCAACCGGGCAUCAAUGGGAGCAACAGAUUUUCCAUGUAAACUUGUUAAAAGCUGGAAGAAGGCCGAGCGGUGGUUGGCUGAGGCUGAACUAGAAAGUGCAGAACUUGGCCCUGAAAUAAGCGGGGAUGUUAGAGAGACACCAGGGGAGGAAAGAGUACAAAUUGAAGAGCGCCUGGCAGCUAGUCAGGGAGGAGACUUGGUUCGGGUUAUUUGCGCCUUCCGCGAUGUCUUUCGAGAGGAACGUGGGUGGGUCGCACACCCUGCCUAGAAGAGUGGUGUGAGAGUGAUGGCGCCCUGACCCCAACCAUUUAUAUGGCCCCAUGAAGCAGGAGCUCUGAAAGAUGCUUGGACGAGGGGUAACAGUCCCCUCACGGGGUCUGUGGCAAAGCCUGAUGGGACCUUACGUCUCAGUGUAGAUUUCAAAUGCUGGAGCUGCUUUCGAUGCCUUCCCCAUGCCCCAGCUUUUAGAAAGAAUAGGACAGGCCCGCUACAUAACGAUGCUUGACCUGUCUCAAGAGUACUGGCAAAUACCCAUGGCCACAAAAGACGAUGCCAAAGCUGCUUUUGGGACCCCAUGGGGCCUAUAUGAAUUUUGUAGAAUGCCCUUCAGCCUGCACGGGGCGGCAGCCCCCUUCCAAAGACUGAUGAACCGAGCUUUGGCCUUACAUGGUGCCCCACACACCAGACGCUGCCAACAGGCGCCGUGCGUGAGUGCAGGGACAGCGAGAGCCCGAGCCGCCUUCUAGCUGAGAUCUCUCCUGGGGAGACGUGGCUGCUGCACUGGAGCCCGUGGCAGUAGAUCUGCAGGGAGGAGCUGAGGGUGCAGAAGUCCCUCGUGUCGUGCAGAGCGGGACGGGGGGCAGGAGUCCCUACAGCGGUCGGCAUCACAGCCAGUAAAACAGCAGCUGCAGACGGAGCCAGUCCAGCACCGGGAGCUUUGGGGGCAGGACACAAUGCAGGCCAUGCAACCCCCUUGUGAGACCGAGCUGCCCUCUGCGACCCCACAGCUGGCACUGUGGGAUGAGCUCCCCACCCCAGAGGCCUGGCACCAGCUCUCCCGUGGCCUCUGCUACUGGGAAGCCGAGGGCCCAAGGAAGAUUUGUCGCCGCCUGUGGGAGCUCUGCCAGCGCUGGCUGGAGCCCCAGCACUGCAGCAAGGAGCAGAUCCUGGAGCUGGUGGUGCUGGAGCAAGUCCUGGCCAUCCUGCCCCAAGACAUGCAGAGCUGGGGGUGCGGGUGCCAAGUGGAGGCCUCUGCCAGGGCUGUUAACCUGGCCGAGGGGUUUCAGCUGGGGCAGGCAGAAGAUGAGAAGCUCCAGGUCACAGUGCGUGCAGCACCCAAAGGUCCAUCGUGGGGACAGGCCUCUGGUGGAGGCAGGAGAGCAGGAAACCCCAGGGCCCGAGGACGAGCUGCCUCAUGUUCUCCAUGAUGAGCUGCCAACACACCAAGAGUCAGGUCCUUACCAGCCUUUUCGAUAUAUAUGGUUAACAAGGGCUCGACACCCAAAGAGCAUCAGUAACCCCCAACCCCCUCUUAUAACUGUUGGCUACUGGGUAUAGGUCAGCUCCCCAAAGAAAGAUAACUUUCUGUUAACUGUUUUGUGUGUGUAAGCUAUAAUAAAUUUGCCUUUAUUUCACUCCCAACUUUACCUCCGCUAUCCAAAACUGAAUCAAACAGCCCAGUUGGCCUGUGAAAAAAUUGAUACACUCACAGUGCCUAGCAGGCCUGUGACACUGUUUUUAGGGCAAAGUCUGGUACAGGGAAUGAGCCCAUGGGGAUUUCCUCUGCUGAUGAGUCCCAGGGAGCCUCCACAUCACAGGAAUCUGCACCGGGACAAAGGCCUUGGUAUGAACCUUCACAUGGACUUUGGGGGGAGUCUCAGGCUUUGUGACACUCUGGGCCUAAGAGUGGGAA